rnacentral:misc_RNA from 1 species
CACUUGACAAGCCAGAGUUGG